rnacentral:rRNA from 1 species
UACGUAGGGUGCAAGCGUUGUCCGGAAUUAUUGGGCGUAAAGAGCUCGUAGGCGGUUUGUUGCGUCGGCUGUGAAAUCCCGAGGCUCAACCUCGGGACUGCAGUCGAUACGAGCAAACUAGAGUGUUGCAGGGGAGACUGGAAUUCCUGGUGUAGCGGUGGAAUGCGCAGAUAUCAGGAGGAACACCGAUGGCGAAGGCAGAUCUCUGGGCCGUAACUGACGCUGAGGAGCGAAAGCGUGGGGAGCGAACAGG